rnacentral:rRNA from 1 species
UACGUAGGGUGCGAGCGUUAAUCGGAAUUACUGGGCGUAAAGCGUGCGCAGGCGGUUCGUUGUGUCGGUGGUGAAAUCCCCGGGCUUAACCUGGGAAUGGCCAUGGAAACUGGCGAACUGGAGUGCGGCAGAGGGGGGUGGAAUUCCGCGUGUAGCAGUGAAAUGCGUAGAGAUGCGGAGGAACACCGAUGGCGAAGGCAGCCCCCUGGGCUAGCCACUGACGCUCGAGGCACGAAAGCGUGGGGAGCAAACAGG